GGAAAUAUGACCUCAUAGGAAAGCUGAGGACGGCCAGAAUUCAUGGGCACAGCAACAGACCGUCCAUGGGGUGUGCAGCCCUGCCUGUCCUCCACCUGGAGAGAGCAGCAGACCGGGUGCCCCUCCCUGAGAAGCCUCCUGGCGACAUGUCCCGUUGUUUGUGCUCCCAGAGCACCCCACACCUCCCCAUCUAGCCUAGGACUGGGCUUGCUCGUUCAGCUUGUCUGUCCACCAGACGGAGGGUUCCUGAGGGCCAGGACUGGAAUGUUCUCCACACCCAUGCACAGGCAUGUUUCUGCAUUCUCGUCCCGCAUGAGCCAGUGGCCACAGCCCAGCAGCCUUGGCAAAAGGAAGAGCCAACCCACUCCUCCCACGGCCCUGAGCUGAGCAGGUGUGUGUCAGCAGCCCAUCAGUGCCCUUGUGUAUGUGAUGUCAAGAGGCUCUGGGUGUGACAAAGCACACGUGCGUCACCCUGGGUAAGUACCCAUGUUAGGAGAAGGUCACAGAAUGUGGGCAGGGAGGGGUGUGUGUGUAAGAUAGACACUGGAGGGACGAGACCUCAGCUCUCAGCCCUGCUGGGAGGUCUUGGGCAGGGGUCCAGCCCAGCGUGGGCAUCAAAUUCUUCAUCUGCAACUUGGGGGGUGGGGUGGGCGUGGGGCUAAAAGGUACACAGGCCUUUCCACCUUCAAUAUUCUGUAGCGAGCUGUCCAACAGAACUUUCUGUGAUGAUGGAAAUACUCUGUGUUGUCCAUUAUGACAGGCACUAGCCUCAUAUGGCUAUAGAGCAUUUGAAGUGUGGCUAGUGGGACUGAAGGACUGAAUUUUUAAUUUUAUUUCAUUUAAAUCAUUAUAAGUGACUAGUGAACACCAUAUUGGAUAGUGAGGUUUUAUGUGGAUAAGAACAGGCGCUCCUGAACCAGGCAAACCAGAGUUCAAAUCGUGGUUCAGCCUCUUACCAGCAAGUUAUUUAACCUUGGUAAGACUAUUUCCUCCCCUGUAAAAUGUAAGUGAGAAUAGUACCCACCCUGAGCAGCUGUUUCAAGGAUCCAGUGAGAGAGUAAGGUAUGCAGUGGGUUUAGCCCAGUCCCUGGAGUAUAGUAAAUGCUCAAGAAACAACACCUUUUAUAGGCAUCAUGAUCUCCGAAGUGAUGAGAACAGCCAGCAUCAUCAGAGGCAAAUUGGACCUUGUCUGCCAAGCUCGGGGAAGGAGCAAGCCAGGACAGGAGGUGUGGGGAGGCCAUGGUGAGGGGGUGGGGUGCUCCCCAGGGCCCAGCAGCCUGUCCCUGGAUAUGAGCAGGCAGGGAGGCCGCACCUGGGUCUCCGACUGACGGAUGGGGAGGUUGCCGUGAUAGUGGGUCCAGUGUGGCUGAGAAUGUGUGGACGUGCUAAUGGGCCGUGAGAAGCAGGAUUCACCCUGGGAGAUUGCUUCUCAGCUGCCUGGUAAGCAGAGUGUCCUAGGAGCUGCUGGCUGCCACCCACAGCAGGCUCAUCACCCUCUCUGGCCUAAAACACCCCAAAAUGCUGACAUGGCUGCAGAGGCGGCACCAGGAACAUUAGACGGGGACUCAGGAGGCCUGGGUCCUUGGCUGCCAACUUGCUUAUCCUUCCAUUUGAAAAAUGGAGAUGAGGAGCCCCAGCCCCAUUUCCUCCUGGGCCAGCUGUGAGAAGUGUCUGCUACGUAGUGAUAAGAAGAGGUUCCUGAUACCCAAGACUGGUUACUGCCAACUUCCCCUAAAGGAACCCUCCCCUCCUUUAUGCCGGAGCCUCCCAGAGCCCACGGCAUUUGCCUGCGGGUGUCAGCAGACGGGGACACUGCUUACGGGGCUUCAGUCACCGAACCCCCUCUCCACUCUGCCCUCCUUGGGGGUCUGAUGAGCAGGAGUCCUGACAAUCUCUAGGGUCUUCCCUUCAUUGGCUGCUUCCUCAAACACACCCAGGUCUCCCACAUUCUGCAACAAUAAACAACCUUCCUUCUCCCAAACUUAAAAAAUUGAAGAAAAAGCAAGAGUGUUUCUCUCGACCCAGCAACCUGGGCCACUUCCUUCCUCCCUUUGUUGCUGCCAAACUUCCAGAACAAGUGUCCGACAUCCACCGCCUCCUCUUCCCACCUCCCACACUCCAUGAACCCACCACAAUCUGGUUCCCACCUCCGGGCUCCCUGGAAGAAAAGUUGUGCCAGGCCCGUCCCCCGAGCCCCCUGCCAGCCCCGGCAUCCCCCACUAGGUCUGAUUGAUCUGCCUAGAUUGCCCCACUGACCACCCAGCUUUGAGACCUAGCUUCCCUCUUCUUUCUGCCACACUCUCCCCGGACCGCCCCCGCCACUUGCUGACAGUGCUUUCACUUCUUCAUCCCUCCUCCCCACAGCAUUGCUGCUCCCUGCUCGCUCUCCACCCAUUCUUACCUCUUCCCCCUCCAUCCCUUCUACCCAGGACCAUUAGCUGGGAUUUCUGGGGAGGCUCUGGGCGUUCACGAACACACCUAAAACUUCAACAAAUUUAUUGUAUGUCUGUGCGUUGUUCUGGGCAGAGGAUGUAUAUUUUUCAUUAGCUUGACAGAGGAUUCUCUGACACCCGUCCCCCCAAAAAUGAUGAAAGCCACUGACUAUCACCCAAGGUUGAAAUCUUCUUCUAUACCGCUCCUCCUCUCUUCAGAAUGCUAGUCCCAAAUUUCUAGCUACUCACCAUCUUGCCUGGAUGCUAUGUGAUAGGCACCUCUUAAUCAAAGUCCACUCUCCUCCCCCCAAAUCUCCCCACUCUGGGUUAAUAUACCUAAGCAUUCUACCUCUCUGAGACAAGCUGGGGUGAUUUCAGAAAGUUCCUGCUCGGGACUUCCCUGGUGGUCCGGUAGUAAGAUUCUGUGCUCCUAAUGCAGGGGGCACAGGUUCAAUCCCUAGCUGUGGAACUAAGAUCCCAAAUGCCACAUGGUGCAUCACGUGGCCAAAAAAAAAAAAAAAAAAAAGGAACGUUCCUGCUCAAAUGUAUACAGACCUGUUAUCUCUAAGAGGAUUAGCUUCCAAUACCUCUUGGUGGUCAGUAACUUACAGCCCAGGUUAGCUGAUCUGAUCACUUGGCAAAGAGCAAGCCCUGGGGGCAUGGAACCCAGAGCAGAUGGAGUUUGAAUGGCUGGGGGAAGGGACAGAGCUGGGGCUGGCCACCAGAGCAGCUCCACCGCAGGGGUCAGAGCAUGGGCCACACGUGGCUACAUCGGAAGCUGCAAUAGUAUCUUGCCAUUGAGAUCCAUUCUCUCCCCAUUCUACAGAUAAAAAAACUGAGGCCAAGACCUUGAACCCAGGACUCCUGACUCAUCGUCUUUUGCUCUUUCCAAUACCCCAUACUCUCGCAUCAGAGGGCCCUAACUUGGGGUCCACAGAUGGGCGUUAGGGUGGGAGGAUCUGUGGGAAAUAUUAUACAACAUUCUGUGAGUUGGAGUGAGUGUGUGUUUUCAGGGGUGACUGUGGCUCAUAUGAGAUUCUCUGAGGGCUCCUAGAUUCCUCAAACAGUUAAAAAUCUGGGAUCAGAUUUGUUCAGAAAUGAAAUGAACAUCUUGGUUUCCAAAACACCCACCUCUACAUACUUUAAGCAAUUCCCUUCACUUUUGGGGGGACCUCAGUUUACCCAUCUGUGAAAUCAACUGUUGAUCAUUUUUAAGCCCUCUUUAUUUUUUUUGUUUGAAGCAAUAGUAUCAUUUCUUUUUUUUUUUUUUUUUUUUUUUUGGGUUCACGGGCCUCUCACUGCU